rnacentral:rRNA from 1 species
UACGGAGGGUGCAAGCGUUGUCCGGAUUUAUUGGGUUUAAAGGGUGCGUAGGUGGAACUGUAAGUCUGAUUUGAAAGCAAGCGGCUUAACCGUUUGAUGUGGUUGGAAACUGUGGUUCUUGAAUGGGUUGGCGGUAGCCGGAAUGGGUCAUGUAGCGGUGAAAUGCAUAGAUAUGACCCGGAACACCGAUUGCGAAGGCAGGCUACUACGACUUGAUUGACACUGAGGCACGAGAGCAUGGGUAGCGAACAGG